rnacentral:rRNA from 1 species
GACGAACGCUGGCGGCGUGCCUAAUACAUGCAAGUCGAGCGGAUGACGGAGGAGCUUGCUCCUCCUGAUUCAGCGGCGGACGGGUGAGUAACACGUGGGCGACCUGCCCUGUAGAUUGGGAUAACUCCGGGAAACCAGGGCUAAUACCGAAUAAUCCUUCGGACCUCAUGGUCCGAUGCUGAAAGACGGUUUCGGCUGUCACUACAGGAUGGGCCCGCGGCGCAUUAGCUAGUUGGUGAGGUAACGGCUCACCAAGGCCACGAUGCGUAGCCGACCUGAGAGGGUGAUCGGCCACACUGGGACUGAGACACGGCCCAGACUCCUACGGGAGGCAGCAGUAGGGAAUCUUCCACAAUGGACGAAAGUCUGAUGGAGCAACGCCGCGUGAGUGAAGAAGGUCCUCGGAUCGUAAAACUCUGUUGUGAGGGAAGAACAAGUACCGGAGUAACUGCCGGUGCCUUGACGGUACCUCAUUAGAAAGCCACGGCUAACUACGUGCCAGCAGCCGCCGUAA